rnacentral:rRNA from 1 species
UACGUAGGGGGCAAGCGUUAUCCGGAUUUACUGGGUGUAAAGGGAGCGUAGACGGCAGUGCAAGUCUGGAGUGAAAGGCGGGGGCUCGACCCCCGGACUGCUCUGGAAACUGUACGGCUGGAGUGCAGGAGAGGUAAGUGGAAUUCCUAGUGUAGCGGUGAAAUGCGUAGAUAUUAGGAGGAACACCAGUGGCGAAGGCGGCUUACUGGACUGUAACUGACGUUGAGGCUCGAAAGCGUGGGGAGCAAACAGG